rnacentral:rRNA from 1 species
CCUACGGGUGGCAGCAGUGAGGAAUAUUGGUCAAUGGCCGAGAGGCUGAACCAGCCAAGUCGCGUGAGGGAUGACGGCCCUACGGGUUGUAAACCUCUUUUGUCGGGGAGCAAAGCGAGUCACGUGUGACUCAUUGAGUGUACCCGAAGAAAAAGCAUCGGCUAACUCCGUGCCAGCAGCCGCGGUAAUACGGAGGAUGCGAGCGUUAUCCGGAUUUAUUGGGUUUAAAGGGUGCGCAGGCGGAGGUGCAAGUCAGCGGUAAAAUUGCGGGGCUCAACCCCGUACUGCCGUUGAAACUGCAUCCCUUGAGUGCGCGAGAAGUAUGCGGAAUGCGUGGUGUAGCGGUGAAAUGCAUAGAUAUCACGAAGAACUCCGAUUGCGAAGGCAGCAUACCGGAGCGCAACUGACGCUGAUGCACGAAAGCGUGGGUAUCGAACAGGAUUAGAUACCCUAGUAGUC